rnacentral:tRNA from 2 species
GGAGAGGUGGCGGAGCUUGGUCGAACGUACCUGAUUCGAAAUCAGGCGUACCGGCAACGGUACCGUGGGUUCGAAUCCCACCCUCUCCGCCA